UACGUAGGUGGCAAGCGUUGUCCGGAUUUAUUGGGUUUAAAGGGUGCGUAGGCGGUCUUCUAAGUCAGUUGUGAAAUACUUCAGCUUAACUGGAGAGGUGCAAUUGAUACUGGAAGACUUGAGUACUGAUGGAGGUAGGCGGAAUGGACGGUGUAGCAGUGAAAUGCGUAGAUAUGCGGAGGAACACCGAUGGCGAAGGCAAUCCCCUGGACCUGUACUGACGCUCCAUGCACGAAAGCGUGGGGAGCAAACAGG
rnacentral:rRNA from 1 species